rnacentral:sRNA from 1 species
UCUCCAGCCUUCAUUGUGUAUUCUUGAUGUUGCCGUAGAAGGUGUUGGCUUCGUUCUGACAAACUGGCACAUGUUUAAAAACGGAAAAGAAACAGCUCAAAGAAUGUUUGUUAAAAAACUAAACUUGGAGCCGGGAAAACGGCUCAGCGGAUAAAGCAGCGGUAGAAGCAUGAAAGCCCGCGUUCAGGUGGCAGCAUUCACGUCAGAGCUGGGUAUCGCGACAUGUGUAAUCCCAACACUGGAGUGGCAGUAGUGGAGGUGGGAUAGGAGGAGCCUAGGGCCUUGCUGGCUAGCCGGCCAAGCUGAAAUGGACUACAGGUUCAGUGAGAGGCCCUGCCUUGAAAGGUAAAUUGGGAAGAGACAGACACCCAAGGUUGUCUCUCUACUAAGUGACCAAAAAUAUCACUUUGAGAACAUUGUUUAAUUCAGUAGUUCUUCUCAAUUACAGCUUUGGAUUUUUGUUUGUUUUGGGAAGCGCAUCAUUUGUUUUCAAGGUAUAUCACAAUAAAAUCUAUAGCCGAGGAAGGAGACAACACAGAGGUGUGUGCAGGGCCCUGGGCUUGCUGCCCAGCCUCAGAAAACAACAGCGGCAACAACAACAAACCUACCAGGCUGGAGAGAGAGCUCAGUGGGUAAAGGCGUUUGCCUGCAAUCACAGUGACAUGGGUUCAAUCCCUGGGAUCCACGUGAUAGAAGGAGAGUCCAGCAUCUCUAAAAGUUGUCCUCUGAUGGCUACAUGUGCACCCUGGCAUGCACAUGACCCCCCUCUCCCCAUAAACAAACUGAAGAUCAAAUAAACAAUGUAAACCUCUCUCCUUAGCAAAACCUAAUCUAAGAAUUCCCUUAGUACUUGGAAAAAAAAAAACAAACAGAACAAAACAAGACAAAAAUCUAAAAUUCUCCCAAGGAACUUAUUUUUUCCCCCUUAUUAAUGACAGUAAGAAAAAAAAAACCAAACCAAAACAGUUGAUUUAUUUCCUUUUUCACUUUGACUGUCAGGAAACUCAGACCAAAUUAAAGGUCUAGCCAUAAAGACCAUGUAGCAGCUUACAUGCGGCAUAUAUAUCCAUUUUCCCCCUUUUGGUCUUGACAUUCUUGCCUAAUUUGCAUUUCUCUGUUCCUAAUUCUUCUUCCUUAUUCAUUCUUCACUCUUCAUUCUUCACUCUUCAUUCUUGUCCUGAGUAUCACUAAAAUCCCCCGUGGGAUAAGAUGGACACACACACACUCACUCAUAUAAAUAUUUAAACAUGUAUUUUAUCAUGCUUAUUACAUUUGACAUGGCCUUGCCGUGUCCUUGGGAAUCAGGUAGAAAAAUGAGCCCCACGCAGUUUCUUCCCUCACCACCUGCAGAUCUGGGGGGAAUUCCUUUGGUAUCUUCGUCUAUCUUCAGGCCUAGGCCAUAGAACCUUCUAGACCUUUGGCCCUUUAAAACCAGAGCUGCCAUGCUGGACAUCAGGCACCAGGAGAGUGGACAUUAGUUCCCUCUAACUUGUUCUUGGGAAGCCAUCGGGGGUCCCUUCUGCUGCCCAGCAAGCGAAGGUCACUGUGAAGAGGCCAAGCGGGCCGGACUAGGCGAGGCACUGUGGCGGCCCACGCAGACACACACUGGGAAGGAACGAGAUUGCAUCUUCCCCCGGACCAGCGAGAUUCUAUAAACAUAAUCAAAAUGUAAUAGAAACUUUUUGGAAAUGCUGUUAUGAGGAGAAAGCAUCAAUCUUGAUGGAACUCCGCUCAACAGGCUUUGCGGAGCUAAUCAAUCAUGGUCAGGACUCGGCCUCCCCAUCUGUCUGCGCUGGGGACCGAGCAGAGCUAGCUCGCUCCCCGGCUGGGGCUGCGUCCCCUCACCAGGCAAUCCAUCAUGCUGCAGGGGGAUGGCGGGAGGGAAUAAUAGCACGCUAAUAAACUAGGGGCUUUUUUCAUUCCCAACUAAUUUUUAGUAAAUGAGCCCAAUCCAGACAGAGCAGGAAAAGAGCCCGAGGAGAUGGUGCGUCUGAGAUGCGCCUCGCUGGCUGGGGACAAUGGCUCCCCGGCCUGGGAUGAUUCUCAAAGAUCAGCUGAGGAGGAAAGGGCCUGUGGAAGGAGGAAAGAGUCAGAAUAACUUCCGGGUUUGCAACAUGGACUUCCGGUCCCGGCUUUUCGAGUUGAUGAGUAGGAAUGGCCCAAUUAACACCCGAGUUGGGUGUGAAACUUGGGCGUUAAGGGGAGCACAGCUUAUGAGGGAAAGUUAGGUCUAAGACUUUGGGGCUGAAGAAAGUUGAGAACAGGAAAUGAACCCAGGGGUAAGAAGCCAGGGAGAAGAAUGAGGAAUAGGAUGCAGGAUGGCUUUGGGACAGACGCUGUGAAUAGUCAAAGGUCACAAACCCAUGUCAUCUGGCAGUAUCUGCCUUGGGGCAAACCUUCCAGGACAGGACCAGGAAGAGAGUGACAUGAACUAACAUUUUUCGAGUUGACAUCCCUCAAGAUAAAUGAUACCAGGAGGCGUCUGAGCAAACAUUCUGACCCACGGCUCGUUGUGGAGCCUGCCUGCUCCUGGUACCUUUGCCACAGUGCCUGGCUCAGAGAGAUGUGGAUUCCCCACAGUCCCUCAGCAGGGCCUGCAAAGGCCACCUCUAAGCAUCUCCAGAACUUGCCUCAUGUACGUCAUCUGCUGCCUUCAUAUGGACCACUGCUACCCUGUUGAAGCAGCACCGUUCUUCCCAUCACGCUGUCUUGUGGAAAUACAACACAGCCCAGCUGUGAGAAUGUUAACAUUUUCUUGGUAUUGCACUGAGCAAGUAAAACAAAAUAGGUGACUUUACAUUGCCUUUGUAUAUGUAGUGUGAUGUGUAUGUAUG